GCAAAAUAGCAUACUUCAGAAUACUACUCACAAGAACAUUCCAAUCUCAACUAGCUAUUCUCCACUGAACAUUUGUUUAACCCAAUGCAUAGUUUUCAGCUAAUUCAUGGGAUAGAUCGACUUGAAUUCAUGAAAGGAAGUCAUCACUUUGUCUUCCUUUUAUUUUAAAGUAUGGCCGUGCUUAACCAUGCCGCUCAAAAUGAACAGUAUCAACACUGACAAUCAUACAUGGUCAUGGGUCAACUCUUCAAUGUACAUAAGACUUGAAUAUAUAUUAAACUAGUAAGAGCAAUUUUCCAGAAAAAAUAGUGGUAAAGUUUUAACUAGAUCAGACAUUUUGGGUUCUAUACCUCAUUAAAAAGUCUCUCAGGUUUUUCACUAACCGGGGCUAGAAGUCCUUAAUGAGGAAGAUCUCUGAAUACCCUUACAGUACUUGCACUACCAAAACUAUGUCCACAAUUUCUCAAGUAGCCCAGCACGAUGAUCAAAGCUCAAACUGUGUUGAGACAAGAAAAAU
rnacentral:lncRNA from 1 species